rnacentral:rRNA from 1 species
CCCUUAGAUGUUCUGGGCUGCACGCGCGCUACACUGAUGCGCUCAACGAGUUUAUGACCUUGCCCGGAAGGGUUGGGUAAUCUUCUUAAAACGCAUCGUGACGGGGAUAGAUUAUUGCAAUUAUUAAUCUUCAACGAGGAAUUCCUAGUAAGCGCGAGUCAUCAGCUCGUGCUGAUUACGUCCCUGCCCUUUGUACACACCGCCCGUCGCUACUACCGAUUGAAUGGUUUAGUGAGAUCUCCGGAUUGGCUCUGUAGGUCCCGCAAGGGAUUUAUUAGUAGCCAAGAAGCUGCUCAAACUUGAUCAUUUAGAGGAAGUAAAAGUCGUAACA